GUUGAACGCUGGCGGCGUGCCUAAUACAUGCAAGUCGAGCGAACAGAUAAGGAGCUUGCUCCUUUGACGUUAGCGGCGGACGGGUGAGUAACACGUGGGUAACCUACCUAUAAGACUGGGAUAACUUCGGGAAACCGGAGCUAAUACCGGAUAACAUUUGGAACCGCAUGGUUCUAAAGUGAAAGAUGGUUUUGCUAUCACUUAUAGAUGGACCCGCGCCGUAUUAGCUAGUUGGUAAGGUAACGGCUUACCAAGGCAACGAUACGUAGCCGACCUGAGAGGGUGAUCGGCCACACUGGAACUGAGACACGGUCCAGACUCCUACGGGAGGCAGCAGUAGGGAAUCUUCCGCAAUGGGCGAAAGCCUGACGGAGCAACGCCGCGUGAGUGAUGAAGGGUUUCGGCUCGUAAAACUCUGUUAUUAGGGAAGAACAAACGUGUAAGUAACUGUGCACGUCUUGACGGUACCUAAUCAGAAAGCCACGGCUAACUACGUG
rnacentral:rRNA from 1 species